rnacentral:rRNA from 1 species
UGGGGAAUUUUGGACAAUUGGGCGAAAGCCUGAUCCAGCAAUGCCGCGUGUGUGAAGAAGGCCUUCGGGUUGUAAAGCACUUUUGUCCGGAAAGAAAUCCUUGGCUCUAAUACAGUCGGGGGAUGACGGUACCGGAAGAAUAAGCACCGGCUAACUACGUGCCAGCAGCCGCGGUAAUACGUAGGGUGCAAGCGUUAAUCGGAAUUACUGGGCGUAAAGCGUGCGCAGGCGGUUUGCUAAGACCGAUGUGAAAUCCCCGGGCUCAACCUGGGAACUGCAUUGGUGACUGGCAGGCUAGAGUAUGGCAGAGGGGGGUUAGAAUUCCACGUGUAGCAGUGAAAUGCGUAGAGAUGUGGAGGAAUACCGAUGGCGAAGGCAGCCCCCUGGGCCAAUACUGACGCUCAUGCACGAAAAGCGUGGGGGAGCAAAACAGGAUUUAGAUACCCUGGUAGUCCACGCCCUAAAACGAUGUCAACUAGUUGUUGGGGAUUCAUUUCCUUAGUAACGUAGCUAACGCGUGAAGUUGACCGCCUGGGGAGUACGGUCGCAAGAUUAAAACUUAAAUGAAUUGACGGGGUCAUAGCUGUUUCCU